ensembl:lncRNA
AGAAUCAUCAUACCCCUCAAAACGUGGAUAUCAUGGAAGAGUGUGACCCAGGAGUCCUUUCUCAACAUUCCUGUCUUUAGACUAUGGUUACUGUUUCAGUAAAUCAUGGAUUAUACUUUCUGCAAUCCUUUCCUUCCCUGAAGGUUUCUCAAGACCUGCCACCUUCUUUUCCGUAUGGAGAACUUGACAUGUAUCUACACUACAGUUCUUAUUUUAACUCAAGUUGGAUCCAUGGGUCUUUGAACUUAAUAGCACCAAUCACCAUUUUUAGGCCACAGCUAGAGAACCUCCAGACAUCUGCUCUACUGUAUCUUGCCAUACAGUGUGUACCUAACUGUUCUCCACACUUUUUCCCAAACCCCGUUUACAGAAAUCAUGUCCAGACUAGAACACUGAUUUCUGCUCAUUUCCUACUCACCACUUCUAUUGGUUUUGUUACCAAAAGUUAUUCAACUGCCAGAAGAAUUUUGGGACCUUCACCUUUCAGACCUCUCCUGCAAUCAAGAGCCACAAUUACUGUAGGUCAGAAAAACUGGUGGAUUUGUC